rnacentral:rRNA from 1 species
CGGAAGGAUCAUUAUUGAAAUAAACUUGGUGUGGGUUGUAGCUGGCCUUUUGGCAAGUGCUCGCCUUCAUCAUCUUUAUAUUUCCACCUGUGCACCUUUUGUAGACCAGAAAGAAAAAUAGGGGAUUUUUUGUUGUGCCAUUUGGCCCAGUAAAUCUCUAAAAAGUAUUUCUUGUCUAUACUUUUAUAUACCCCAAAAAAUGUAACAGAAUGUUAAUCUAUGGGCCUUUGUGCCUAUAAACAAAAAUUAUACAACUUUCAGCAACGGAUCUCUUGGCUCUCGCAUCGAUGAAGAACGCAGCGAAAUGCGAUAAGUAAUGUGAAUUGCAGAAUUCAGUGAAUCAUCGAAUCUUUGAACGCACCUUGCGCUCCUUGGUAUUCCGAGGAGCAUGCCUGUUUGAGUGUCAUUAAAUUCUCAAAAAGCUUUUGGUAGUAAUAUCAAUGGCUUUCUUGGAUGUGAGGGUUUACUGUUGGCGUAAGUCAACUCCCUUGAAAUGAAUUAGCUUGGUUGAUUGGACUUUGUCUAUUGGUGUGAUAAUUAUCUACGCCAUUGGAUUGUCUGCUUAUCAAACUGCUUCUAAUUGUCCCUUUGGGACUAAUAAAAAAUGACCAUUUGACCUCAAAUCAGGUAGGACUACCCGCUGAACUUAAGCAUAUCAAUAAGCGGAGGAAAAGAAACUAACAAGGAUUCCCCUAGUAACUGCGAGUGAAGAGGGAAAAGCUCAAAUUUAAAAUCUGGCUUCCUUUGGUUGUCCGAGUUGUAAUCUAGAGAAGCGUCAUCCGCGCCGGACCGUGUACAAGUCUCCUGGAACGGAGCGUCAUAGAGGGUGAGAAUCCCGUCUUCGACACGGACUACCGGGGCUUUGUGAUGCGCUC